rnacentral:rRNA from 1 species
UACGGGGGGAGCAAGCGUUGUUCGGAUUUACUGGGCGUAAAGGGCGCGUAGGCGGCCACCGCAAGUCAGUUGUGAAAUCUCUGGGCUUAACCCAGAAAGGUCAACUGAUACUGCGGGGCUAGAGUGCAGAAGGGGCAACUGGAAUUCUCGGUGUAGCGGUGAAAUGCGUAGAUAUCGAGAGGAACACCUGCGGCGAAGGCGGGUUGCGGGGCUGACACUGACGCUGAGGCGCGAAAGCUAGGGGAGCGAACGGG